rnacentral:misc_RNA from 1 species
GAUGAAGAACGCAGCGAACUGCGAUAAGUAAUGUGAAUUGCAGAAUUCAGUGAAUCAUCGAGUCUUUGAACGCACAUUGCGCCCCAUGGCAUUCCGGGGGGCAUGCCUGUCCGAGCGUCAUUGCUGCCCUUCAAGCCCGGCUUGUGUGUUGGGUCGUCGUCCCCCCCGGGGGACGGGCCCGAAAGGCAGCGGCGGCACCGCGUCCGGUCCUCGAGCGUAUGGGGCUUUGUCACCCGCUCGAUUAGGGCCGGCCGGGCGCCAGCCGGCGUCUCCAACCUUCUAUUUUACCAGGUUGACCUCGGAUCAGGUAGGGAUACCCGCUGAACUUAAGCAUAUCAAUAAGCGGAGGA